UGUGCCACAUGUCACCAUACAGAUGAUGACAUGUGUCCCACUCACCCAUAUAUAUCUACAUAUUUUUUCUCCUCUCUCUCUUUUCCCUAUUUCACUCUCUCUCCUCCUUCUUUCUCUUUCUCUUUUUCUUUCUCCUCUGCACCCUCUCUUCCCCACAAAUCCAUUCCCUCUCCUCUUUCUCUCUCUUUCUCCUUCUCUCUCUUCUCUUAUCUCAUAGACCUAUUCUCUUCUCUUUUUCUCUUUUCCUCUCUCUGCAGAUCUGUUUUUAUUUUCUCUCUUUUUUGUAUUCUCUUAUAUGUUUUCUAUUCUCUUUCACUUGCAGAUAUGUUGUAAGAUCCCAAACCGUGAUGUAUGGAUUUAUUAUGUAAAAGAGGGGAAAAAAAAUGGAAUUUCACAGAUUUCGUCGACGAGGCCAAAAUUCGUCGAUGAAGGGUGAAGGCUUCUCGUUGAUGAAAUUCAAAAGCUCGUCGACGAGUGAAUGCCAAGGGGUUCAGGAAAAAUUUGGAAUAUCUGGCUCGUCGUCGAGGCUGCCGAUUCGUCGACGAGGCUAGUGAAGAAUUCGUCGACGAGGGCACUAAUUCGUCAACGAAUCCACUUGGGUCAAAGGUGCUAUAAAUGAGAUUUUGGAUUGCUUUGGGACUAAGUUUCCCUAAAACACUCUUUCUCUCUCUCUAGAACUCUCCCUACACUCUCUCUCUCUCUCUCUCUAGAACUCUCCCAACACUCUCUCUCUGUAGUUUUGUUUGCCCAUCGUUGCCCGAUUUGUAAAUCCAAUGAUACUGCGAGAAUCAGGAAAGGAUUUUCUACGUUUCUAGCGGAUUGGAAUCUCGUUUCGGAAGAUUUCGAGUUUUGGGUUAAAAUCGAGGUUUUGGAGUCUCAGUUCGUAGUUUUGAGGACCAUAAAGUUCGUAGUUGGAAUUUGGGUUAAAGUAAAGGGAUUCUGUUUAUAUCAUUUUAUUUUCGAAAUCGAGAUCGGUAAGCUUGUAGGCUACGAUCGUAUAUAUGUUUCGGCUACUUAUUUGGGGAAAUCUAUCAGGUAAAAAUGCGAAAUUUUUGGGUUAUAGUUUUUGGGAAAAUUGGGGAUUUCAAGUACCAUCUCUACUUUGUUUGGAAAAUUGUUGGUUUUGUUGAAACUAUAUUAUUGAGGUGACCGUAAUCCAUAUUUGCAUAAACUGUAUACUUGAAUUUGUAAAUGAUAUGAUUUGCCGUAACCAAAUAAGUGUGGGUUGUAUGUAUUUGUUCCAGGUAUUUGUAAAACAACUAUGUGGUGGCUAAUUACUAUACGCUGAAAUAUAUAGGAAUGUGAGUUCCAAAAUGAUUCUAGGGAUUUGUAAAACAGCCAUGUAUCGGUUAACUACUGUGGGCGAGAGUGGCCGACUCUAUAUUCCAAGGUGUGAAAUAUCACCAGUAUGUUCCGACUGGUCACCGAAGGGUGUGUUAUACACCGUAUGUAGCAAUGUAAUCACUGUGGGCCUGAGUCGUCGCAUUAUAGUUGCGUAUGUAGCAAUGUAAUCGAUGUAAGACUAGGUGACCUUGUGUAGUUGCGUAGGUAGCAAUGUAAUCACUAUUGGGCCUGAGUCGUCGCAUUGUAGUUGCAUGUGUAGCAAUGUAAUUGAUGUGAGACUAGGUGACCUUCUGUAGUUGUGUAUGGAGCAAUGUAAUCACUAUUGGGCCUUGGUCGUCGCA